AUGUGCCUGCUGCUCUCCGGCAGCACCAGCGGAUCAGCCAGCAUGAGCAGGAUCCACCCCUCCGACCGCGGCGACGGCGCCCGCCGCGCGGCGCGGACGGCGGCGGAGCGGCAGCGGCAGCAGUCGGCGGUGUACACGGUGUGGAAGAGGUCCAGCAUGGGGUUCCAGGGCACCGACGGCUUCUCCGUCUACGACGCCGCCGGGAGGCUCGCCUUCCGCGUCGACAACUACGCCCGCCGCCCCAAGGCCUUCGCCGGCGAGCUGCUGCUCAUGGACGGCCGCGGCGCCCCUCUCCUCUCCCUCAGGCCACAGAUCUUUAGCCUGCACGACCGAUGGAACUGCUACAGAGUUGCACCGGGAGAAGAGGGCUGCCCGGACACGGACAGGAGCUCCUCCGCGCAGCAGCUCUUCUCCAUGCGGAAGUGCGCCGCUCUGCAGAGCACGGACGACGCAGAGGUCCACAUGUCGUCGGCCUCGACGGCGACGACGUCAGGGCGCGGCUGCCGGGCUCCGCCUUCCCCUCCUCCCGGCUACCGCGUCGAGGGCUGCUUCUCCAGGAGGAGCUGCAAGAUCACAAGGAGCGACGGCCAGGAGGCGGCACGGAUACUGAGGAAGAAAGCCGGUGGACCUACGGCGGCAGCGGCGUCGUCAAGGCCCGUCGCCCUCGGCGACGACGUGUUCAGCCUGGUCGUUCGGCCGGGCGUCGAUGCCGCCACGGUCAUGGCUAUUGUCGUUGUCAUGGACCGGAUCUGCCGGAGGCCCUACGCACCAAUGGCGUGCUCUUCACAGUAA
rnacentral:rRNA from 1 species